AUUGAACGCUGGCGGCAGGCCUAACACAUGCAAGUCGAGCGGAUGAAGGGAGCUUGCUCCUGGAUUCAGCGGCGGACGGGUGAGUAAUGCCUAGGAAUCUGUCUGGUAGUGGGGGAUAACGUCCGGAAACGGGCGCUAAUACCGCAUACGUCCUGAGGGAGAAAGUGGGGGAUCUUCGGACCUCACGCUAUCAGAUGAGCCUAGGUCGGAUUAGCUAGUUGGUGGGGUAAAGGCCUACCAAGGCGACGAUCCGUAACUGGUCUGAGAGGAUGAUCAGGCACACUGGAACUGAGACACGGUCCAGACUCCUACGGGAGGCAGCAGUGGGGAAUAUUGGACAAUGGGCGAAAGCCUGAUCCAGCCAUGCCGCGUGUGUGAAGAAGGUCUUCGGAUUGUAAAGCACUUUAAGUUGGGAGGAAGGGCAGUAAGUUAAUACCUUGCUGUUUUGACGUUACCAACAGAAUAAGCACCGGCUAACUUCGUG
rnacentral:rRNA from 1 species